rnacentral:hammerhead_ribozyme from 1 species
GUCCUAAUAGUCCCAAAUAGGACGAAACGCGCGUCCUGGAU